GGUGGUUCUCAUAUGAAGCACCCCAGAAUCGGGCUCCUUCCUCUCUGGUUCUCGGUGUGUCACCUGAGAACCACA
rfam:Myotis lucifugus cont2.30813, whole genome shotgun sequence.